UACAGAGGGUGCAAGCGUUAAUCGGAAUUACUGGGCGUAAAGCGAGCGUAGUCGGUUAUUUAAGUCGGAUGUGAAAGCCCCGGGCUCAACCUGGGAAUUGCAUUCGAUACUGGAUAGCUAGAGUUCGGCAGAGGGAAGCGGAAUUUCCGGUGUAGCGGUGAAAUGCGUAGAUAUCGGGAGGAACACCUGUGGCGAAGGCGACCCCCUGGUUGGAUACUGACGCUGAGACGCGAAAGCGUGGGGAGCAAACAGG
rnacentral:rRNA from 1 species